GUUUCCCUGGUGUAGCGGUUAUCACGUGUGCUUCACACGCACAAGGUCCCCGGUUCGAUCCCGGGCGGGAACU
rnacentral:tRNA from 1 species